UGGUUGAAUUAGGUUACUUCAACGUUCAACCAUACUUCAAGAAUUACCAUAUUUGCGAUGAAGACUAGUCUUUCUGGUCUUACGGAGAAACGAUUCAAUUGUGAGGUAUUUGAUAGGCUAAGAUUUCAGAAUUUUGGUUCAACCUUCCUCCACUCUUUUUGAUGUAAAGCUAAGUAUUGGGCAUGCAUACACGGGAGAGAAAUAUACCCAUUUGUAGCAGUAGAAAUUGUGGUCCAAUGGUAGGUUCUUGAAAGAGGAAAUCACAUUGGCAUAAACUAAGAUGGGUGAACUGAAGGUGGAUGGAUAUCUCUAUAUGUUGCUUGGUCCGGGCAAAAAUUCAAGUUCAGCUUCUUCUUCCAUCUCUUCAACUCAUGUUCCAGCCUCUUGGACUGGAUCACUAGCUUAGAUUUCUACUAGAAGAAGACUCAGAUCAAUUGAGUGUAUAACCAAGAGGAGAGAAGGAAGAAACAAGGGAAAUUCGUGCAACCUAUUACUUGAAGAGAUAGGGACGAUGAGGACAUGAAAAGCUCUACAAAAGUGUCUUGAAGCAGUCAACAUGAUGCAUCUUUAUUUGCUGUGGCUUUCAGCCACAAUAGAAAAAACCACCAGCUGGCAAUCCUCUCCUUGAUGUAGCCGAGGAAAAUAAAUCCGGACCAUUGGUGCCGCUAUAAGACUUCUUGGUUGGAAGAUAACAUGGGGCGUGCUUACUGCAGGUUCAACGUUCAAAUAUAUUUUCAGAUUAAGCCCUGAUUGUUGGAACUUAAGCCAUUCAAGAAAUAGUGUAUUUUCUUUCAUUCUUAAAACAUUAAAGGUGUUAAUAUUGAAGCAGACCGCGAAGAAAAUCAUCAAGGCCUUGGGGCUCAUCUUUGUAGCAACCAGAGAUAAGUCAAUAGUGUAAUCUAUCUUGAACUACGAUAUGGACUGUAACAUAAAUUCCUUAAAUAAAAUUGAAUUCAAGAUCAACUUGUAAGUCCCUUUCAAUUAUCAUUUCGAUCAACUUGAUUUAAAAUGGUGUAAAAAAAGCGUAUAAGAAAAGCUUUGUAGCAUGCCCCUUCACCUGUUAAUUACAAAAUUUGUACCAUCUAAGGUCACUGGCAUUAGCAAAAUUUUCAUUUCCUAAAAAAUUUAAUUCCACAAACUCUUCAUUACCUCAAUUUCCACAUAAAAAAACCAACUAGAGUGGUUUUAAACAUCCCACCCACUACUUUCAGGGAAAAAAAAAAAAAAAAAAAGUCAACAUCGGAAUGGUUCUCUCUUUGCAAACAUAUUUCUACUCAGCUCACCACUUAAAAAAAAUCAUCUAAA